GACCCGCACCGCCUCGUCCCGUGAGGCGGCCCGAACCGCCGCGGAGCGGCCGCUGCCCUCGGGGGAGCCGUGCGGGGAAGCGGGGCGGCGCUGAGCUUCGGGAGCGAGGAGGAGGAGCGGGAAGGAUGGCAUCGUUGCAGGAUGUGCCCCGUGCCCACCAGAGGGAGUAUGAGAAACACGUGGAGAGCAUUGACAGUUCAAAGAUAACUGCCCAGGAAUGAGAGAAGCCUUCAGAUGCUGCUAUCAACUACAGAUUCUACAGGGGCAUGAAAACAUACGUAGAGAACUUAGUAAACUGUUUCAAUGAAAAAGUACGCGUGUUUUCCUUCCCUUCGCUGCCACCCAUUUCUUUAAGAUGAUGAACCUGCAUUCUCUCAAGGCAAAAAUGAGAUUUCUUAUUUGGAAUUGAUGAUGAGAUGACCAGUUAUAAGUCAAUUCUAUCAGAAACUUGAGUGUCACAGGAAACAAAGGAGGAACAGACCACCCCUCACAGUAACCUAAAAUGAUUAAGCUGAAAUACAUAACUGAGCUCGAAUCUGCUGUACGUGCACUUCUCCAGCAGCGAGCCGUGUCGGUACUGAAGCGAAGGCAAGAUGAGCUGGAAACGGAAUCUACUUAUAUGCAGCAUCUGACAACUGGGAAUGGCAAACCAAGUAAUGAUGGACUGGAGAGUGAUGAAAA